UUCCGCAGCAUGCCUUUUUCUUCAGGAGACGUUUUACAUUCCCGAUAAGCCUGGAUAAGGCUCUUUUGGAAGGUACAGGCUGUUGCUGUUUCUCUUGCAUCUAGCAUCACAGACCUUGGGUGCUGGAAAUGGAAGCAACAGUCCCCGUCAGACCCGGGGAGAAAGGAACAGCAGGAAAUCCUUGCGAGGAACGUUACCGUGCGAGCACGGAGAAGGAGGGAAAGAUCCCGGCGAACAAAGAGCCCCGAGGAGCUCCUGAGCCGGGCAGGGGGCGCGGGGCCGCCGCGGGGAGCUGGAGGUG